AUACGGAGGGUGCAAGCGUUAUUCGGAAUCACUGGGCGUAAAGGACGCGUAGGUGGGUUGGCAAGUCAGAUGUGAAAUCCUACAGCUUAACUGUAGAACUGCAUUUGAAACUGCUAACCUAGAGUAUGGGAGGGGGAGAUGGAAUUAGUGGUGUAGGGGUAAAAUCCGUAGAUAUCACUAGGAAUACCGAAAGCGAAGGCGAUCUCCUGGAACAUAACUGACGCUAAGGCGUGAAAGCGUGGGUAGCAAACGGGAUUAGAUACCCCAGUAGUCC
rnacentral:rRNA from 1 species